GAUGAACGCUGGCGGCGUGCCUAACACAUGCAAGUCGAACGGAGUCCAGCCUUUAAGACCUUCGGGUCAAAGAGGGGAAGACUGAGUGGCGCACGGGUGAGUAACACGUGGGCAACCUGGCUCAUAGAGGGGGAUAACAGAGAGAAAUUUCUGCUAAUACCGCAUAAGCACACACUGCCGCAUGGCAGAGGGUGAAAAGAGAAUCGCUAUGAGAUGGACCCGCGUCUGAUUAGCCAGUUGGCAGGGUAAGAGCCUACCAAAGCGACGAUCAGUAGCCGAUCUGAGAGGAUGAACGGCCACAUUGGGACUGAGACACGGCCCAAACUCCUACGGGAGGCAGCAGUGGGGGAUAUUGCACAAUGGGGGGAACCCUGAUGCAGCGACGCCGCGUGAGUGAAGAAGUAUUUCGGUAUGUAAAGCUCUAUCAGCAGGGAAGAUAAUGACAGUACCUGAAUAAGAAGCCCCGGCUAACUACGUG
rnacentral:rRNA from 1 species